rnacentral:rRNA from 1 species
ACGAACGCUGGCGGCGUGCUUAACACAUGCAAGUCGAGCGGUAAGGCCCUUUCGGGGGUACACGAGCGGCGAACGGGUGAGUAACACGUGGGUGACCUGCCCUCAGCUCUGGGAUAAGCCUGGGAAACCGGGUCUAAUACCGGAUAUGACUCCAUGACGCAUGUUGUGGGGUGGAAAGCCUUGUGCGGCUGAGGAUGGGCCCGCGGCCUAUCAGCUUGUUGGUGGGGUGAUGGCCUACCAAGGCGACGACGGGUAGCCGGCCUGAGAGGGCGACCGGCCACACUGGGACUGAGACACGGCCCAGACUCCUACGGGAGGCAGCAGUGGGGAAUCUUGCGCAAUGGGCGAAAGCCUGACGCAGCGACGCCGCGUGAGGG